GUCCUAGACCUGUGUGCCCUGUCUCACUAACCCCCCCCUCCCCUCCUAUGGUCAUUGUCAUGCCAAAUUAUCAUGAACAAUAACAGAUCCGGGAACAGGCUAAAGAAAGAGUGGAUGAUGUAUUAACUAUCAUCCUAUUCAAACAUCUACCUCUAUCAAUUUCAAUCUUGUUCUCAUUACACAGGCUGAGAAAGACCACUUUUAUUAGUGCACUGUAGCAAAACAGAAAAUGUUUGGCAAAGAAUCAAGUGUUUCUAUUGGACAAAUUCAGAUAGGUUCCUCACCGUUUGAUACCAUUUUCUUCAUAGUGAAUACACCCCUGACCUCUGGCUAAGUAGAUUCCCUUCAGUACCUCUUGCGGAUGGAUGGUGGUUCUCCCUUUUUUAUUUAACUAGGCAAUUCAGUUAAGAACAAAUUCUUAUUUACAAUGACGGCCUGCCGGGGAACAGUGGGUUAACUGUCUUGUACAGGGCAGAACGACAGAUUUUUACCUUGUCAGCGAUUCAAUCCAGCAACCUUUUGGUUACUGGCCCAACGCUCUAACCACUAGGCUACCUGCCGCCGCAUUGCCGCCAUGAACUUCUCAAACUCCCCCUCAGGCACAAGACCCAGCUCCUGGUAAUAGUGUUCAAACAGCUUGUUCUCCUUGGAGGAGCUACCUGCUUUUCUGGUGCCACUGUGCCUUAUGCUGUGGACUUCUGCUGAGAAAACCACUCAUCUUCCCAAUCAGUUACUGCUGGUUGGUUAUUUUGCUCUGCCCAGAAUACCUGCCCAUAUGCAUUGCACCAGUAAGCCUAUGGUCUGAUGAGUCUUCCCAAGUGUCCCCAGUGGAUAGGCCAAGUACCUGGUUGAGAACCACUGUUCUAGGUGACAGUGUUCAGUUCAUUAGGCAUUUUGAUAGCUGAAAUCCAAUUGUAAUUUAAAAUGAAAUCGGUAAUAAUAAUGCAUGUCAUUGCCUAAAUGAUGUGUCAACAUUGUAACUUGUUUCUCAGCCAUGAGAAACAUCCACGUUAGACAACUGGUGGUGAAAUUAUUAUUAAUCAGUUCUAUUUUUUUCUUCUAGAUCAUCUAUCCAUUUUUUUUUUGGUGGAGGGAAAUCUACAUCAUUUGCAUUGUUCGUCCUGGCCUUUGUGUUCUGCAUCUAUAAUGGCUAUAUGCAGGUCAGCUACCUGAGCAACUGGGUUACCAGCCCCUGCUUCAUCACAGGUAAGAGACAUGGGUGACAUACUGCAUACAUCAGGGUUCCCCAACUGGCGGCCCUUGGGCACAAUUUGACCCGCGAGUGAUUUUAUUUGGCCCCCAUGCGUUCUGAGAAAAAUGUAUAAAUAAUGUUGGACUUAAAAGACUGUAAAAACACCAGCAAAUCAGCUCAAGUGAGUUUAAUUUUGGAUAUCUGUUCCAAAGUAUUUCCACGAAUAAUAGAGAGAUAUACACAGUGUACAAAACAAUAGGAACAUUUCCAUGACAUAGACUGACUAGGUGAAUCCAGGUGAAAGCUAUGAUGCCUUAUUCAGUAUGUUUACAUGCACACUAAUAAUUAGAUAUCAAACAGAUUAUGACAGUAGACAGAUUAUGCAGUAGUCAUGUAAACACCUUACUCUGCUUAUCUUAAUGGGUGUGAGGUAAAAAUCAAAGUAAGCAUACAUCGAUUAAAAUACCUGGUUUUCUGAGCAAUCUUUCAAAUUAUUAGGACACGUACAGUAAACACCUUAAUUGGUGUUCCAGCUGUGUAUUUGAUCUGCACAUGAGUUAGCACCAGCCGAGAGCCUCCCUCUUUAGCGCAAGUGAAGUGUAUUCGGAACAACUGAAUGUAUGCUUCUUAGAAGUAGUUUUCACAUACAAACUUCAUAUGUCUGAACUCAGAAUCAAAUAUGCUUCCAAAAACAACAUGUUCGCUGUGGUAGAAUGUUUAUUUUGAUUGCCGAUUUUCUACAUUUAUCAGAGUGCCAUCAGGUAGCCUGAUUUCAGAUGUAUCCAUGUAAACAGGAUUAUUAAGGAAAUCGUUCUUGCAAAGCAUUUAAACAUUUUAAUCAAACUAUUAUAUGAAUCUGACUAUCCACAAUAAUCGUGGCAUGGCAUAACUCUAGAACGAUCAGGGACAAUACAUGAAGAAAUUCACGGAACUAAUGAGUACGGUUACAAUAAUGUAACCAUACUCAUUUGUUAAAUCCACUUCAAUCAGUGUAGAUGAAGGGGAGGAGACAGGUUAAAGAAGGAUUUUUAAGCCUCGAGACACUUGUGCCAUUCAGAGGGUGAAUGGGCAAGACAAGAUUUAAGUGCCUUUGAACGGCUAUGGUAGUAGGUACGAGGUGCACCAUUUUGAGUGUGUCAAGAACUGCAACGCUGCUGGGUUUUUCACGCUCAACAGUUUCCUGUGUGUAUAUCAAGAAUGGUCCACCACCCAAAGGACACAACUGUGGGAAGCAUUGAUGUCAACAUGGGCCAGCAUCCCUGUGGAAUGCUUUCGGCAUCUUGUGGAGUCCAUACCCCGACUAAUUGAGGCUGAUCUGAGGGCAAAAGGGGGUACAGCUCAAUAUUAGGAAGGUGUAUGUGAUCGUAUACAAAUGUAAGCAAGGUUUGAAAUUAUGUUUUAGUCAAAUAUUAUAUCUGUUUGGGCUUCUUGCGGUCAAUCUGCAGUCUACAAAUUAUUUGAAAUUAUGUUCCGGCCCCCUGAUCAUCCUCUCAAGAAAAAAAUCAUAACCCACAAAUUACACAGUUGUCUGUCAAUAUGUUCCGUGAAUUUCUUCAUGUAUUGUCCCUGAUCGUUCUAGAGUUAUGCCACGCCACGCUAUCCAUAAACACCUCACAUUUCCAAAUGUUCACCUCAUUGGUCGUCUUCUACACACUGUCAUUAUAAAUCAGCUUCCCCACUGGUUGAUUUUCAGGCUCUGUGCUGGGGUUGGUGGGUUGGUUGGUGAACGUUCACUCUGACCACAUCCUAAGGAACCUACGGAAGCCUGGAGAGAGGGGCUACAAGAUACUGUACCAAAAGAUAAGAUUCCUGCUACCUGCAGGUUCGCUCUGGCCAAUCAAAACCACUACCUGGAAGUUUCCUAGUAAAGCACU
rnacentral:lncRNA from 8 species